UUCACAAGCCGGGAAGAGAUACCAGACUUUGACUAAUUCCCCAAUUGAUUUCAAAAGUCCAUUGAAUUAAACUUCUUAAAGUAACAACUAUAAAGUAAACAGUAACUUAAUUAUUCAUAUUUUUCAUCCCUGAACUCACAACCUAGUCGCUCCCCCCCUACUAAAAACAAAAUUAUAACUUAAUAAAUUUCCCCAUUGGAAACCUUUAUCCUUAGUUUCCCGCCGAUCUCCUCACAAGCAAAGCCAGUCUCUCUCGGAUUCUCCUCAGGUGAGCAUGCGGUCUGAUAAUCUCCCCCUCCAUUCCUGUAAUAUUAAGUGGUGAGCUACAGCUACCUGGCUGCACCUCAAGGCCAUAGCCACUUCAAAGAUGUGGUGUAUGGGUCUGGUGCAGCAGCCAAGCCUCCUUCCUCUGACCACAGCUUCUCUGCCAGAUCUCCAACUCUUGGCCAGACACUUUCACUGGAAACUCAGAAAUCUGGUCAUACAGCAGCUCCUGGCCAUGCCUCAGACCAUACUCACCUCAGCACUACACCACCUGUUAUUACUGCCUUCGAGUCCUCAAAAUUAUCUCACAUUUCCCCUUCCUCAUUAGUCCAUUCCUCAUCAUUCUCUGCACCAUCACCUUUUUUCUCCUCAUCCUUCUCACCUUCUGCUCACUCAUCAUCUCUCCCACAACCAUCACUCCCUCCUGCCUCUCCAUUUACUCAUCCUGAAGCCAUAUUUGCCAUGCACCAAACUUCUGCCACAGUUCACCCUGCUGAUCCCAGCCAAUUUAUCAUCAAGGACUCCACUUUCCAGGAGGCUCUGGAAUGUAACUCCCACAGAUGGCAGGGAAACACUGCAUAUCUUCCCUCCCACAACAGCGAUGCACUUAAUGAAUUGGGCCAAGAUAAUUAGUGAAAGCUUUCUGUGUUAAAGAGAUGCAGCUAGUGAGCCAAUAUAUAUAUUAAUAUAUAUUAAUCCUUUAUGUCAUAAAACUUCUCUGAAAAAAUCUAGUGAAUAAUUUUUCCUCAAUCACUGCACUGUCCUUGAUCUAAAUUACAUAUUAAAACUACACAUGAUAGUGUAAUGAUCAGUAUGCUUGGCUCACAAACCACAUAUAUAUAUAUGCUUGGCUUUGUCUCCAAACUCUCCCCCAUAGAGAGAUUGUAUUAACCUGCAGAAAUAAAGCUAUCAUUCAGGGAAA